CGAAAUACGCAAACCAAUGUCGAAAGUUUUGUAUAAAUACUCUACGGUAGCAGUCAUUUCUUCAGAUUGUACCAGUGUUGUGUGCAUUUAAUAUUAAUAAGUGAAUCGCGAAACUUUUUCUUUGAAAAAGCAAUCAACAUGCAGAUUUCCAAUUUGAUUGGUUUUAUGGUGAUGGCGGUUUUAGCAACAAGUUUGAUGGUGAUGGGCGAACCCAAUCCCCAACUACCUCCAGCAGUGGUUGCUUCAUUGUUGGGAAAAUGAAGAUGUUUAUUUAGUACAGAUCACACGUUCAUCCGAUACCUUCUCAUCGGAGUAUGUUAUUUCCAUCUACGUUGAAAUUGACUUAUUUUUCAAAUUAAAUUAUGCAAUACAAUAUGCGAAUACUAUAAUUUCAUUCUACUUUAAUAAACUUAAUUAUAGCAUG